AGUCACUGACAUUAGAUACCCGUGUAGUCCAGGGUGUAAACGCUGCAGACUUGGUGUUGGAAGUCCUUUGGGGGCAUUCAGUGCCGGAGAGAAGUUGUUAAGUCUGCUACUUGGGAGUACGUCCGCAAGGAUGAAACUUAAAGGAAUUGGCGGGGAGCACCACAACGGGUGGAGCCUGCGGUUUAAUUGGACUCAACGCCGGAAAUCUCACCGGAUAGGACAGACAUAUGAUAGUCGGGCUGAAGACUCUGCUAGAUUUUCAG
rnacentral:rRNA from 1 species